CUUUAGCUGAGCAAUAUAGCGCUUGGCUUCUGAACCAAGGGUCCCGGGUUCAAAUCCUGGUGAAGA
rnacentral:tRNA from 1 species